rnacentral:rRNA from 1 species
CCUACGGGAGGCAGCAGUGGGGAAUCUUGGACAAUGGGCGCAAGCCUGAUCUAGCCAUGCCGCGUGUGUGAUGAAGGCCUUAGGGUCGUAAAGCACUUUCGCCUGUGAAGAUAAUGACUGUAGCAGGUAAAGAAACCCCGGCUAACUCCGUGCCAGCAGCCGCGGUAAUACGGAGGGGGUUAGCGUUGUUCGGAAUUACUGGGCGUAAAGCGUACGUAGGCGGACCAUUAAGUUGGGGGUGAAAUCCCAGGGCUCAACCCUGGAACUGCCUCCAAAACUGCUGGUCUUGAGUUCGAGAGAGGUGAGUGGAAUUCCGAGUGUAGAGGUGAAAUUCGUAGAUAUUCGGAGGAACACCAGUGGCGAAGGCGGCUCACUGGCUCGAUACUGACGCUGAGGUACGAAAAGUGUGGGGAGCAAACAGGAUUAGAUACCCUGGUAGUCCACACCGUAAACGAUGAAUGCCAGUCGUCGGGUAGCAUGCUAUUCGGUGACACACCUAACGGAUUAAGCAUUCCGCCUGGGGAGUACGGUCGCAAGAUUAAAACUCAAAGGAAUUGACGGGG